UACAGAGGGUGCAAGCGUUGUUCGGAAUUAUUGGGCGUAAAGCGCGUGUAGGCGGCUUAGCAAGUCGGGCGUGAAAGCCCUCGGCUCAACCGAGGAAGUGCACCCGAAACUGCUGAGCUUGAGUGCCGGAGAGGAUGGCGGAAUUCCCCAAGUAGAGGUGAAAUUCGCAGAUAUCGGGAAGAACACCCGUGGCGAAGGCGGCUCUCUGGGACGGUACUGACGCUGAGACGCGAAAGCGUGGGGAGCGAACAGG
rnacentral:rRNA from 1 species